AUUGAACGCUGGCGGCAUGCCUUACACAUGCAAGUCGAACGGUAACGCGGGGCAACCUGGCGACGAGUGGCGAACGGGUGAGUAAAGCAUCGGAACGUGCCCAGUAGUGGGGGAUAGCCCGGCGAAAGCCGGAUUAACACCGCAUACGACCUAUGGGUGAAAGGGGGGGAUCGCAAGACCUCUCGCUAUUGGAGCGGCCGAUGUCAGAUUAGGUAGUUGGUGGGGUAAAGGCCUACCAAGCCGACGAUCUGUAGCUGGUCUGAGAGGACGACCAGCCACACUGGGACUGAGACACGGCCCAGACUCCUACGGGAGGCAGCAGUGGGGAAUUUUGGACAAUGGGCGCAAGCCUGAUCCAGCCAUGCCGCGUGCGGGAAGAAGGCCUUAUGGUUGUAAAGCACUUUAAGCGAGGAGGAGGCUCUUUUGGUUAAUACCCAAGAUGAGUGGACGUUACUCGCAGAAUAAGCACCGGCUAACUCUGUGCCAGCCGCCGCGGUAA
rnacentral:rRNA from 1 species